rnacentral:misc_RNA from 1 species
AGCAGCCGCGGUAAUUCCAGCUCCAAUAGCGUAUAUUAAAGUUGUUGCAGUUAAAAAGCUCGUAGUUGAAUUUCGGGAUCAGUUGGUCGGUCGUGCCUCGGUACGUACUGGUCAAAUUGAUUCCUACCUUCUGACGAACCACGAUGUCAUUAAUUUGGUGUCGCGGGAAAUCAGGACUGUUACUUUGAAAAAUUAGAGUGUUUAAAGCAGGCUCGCGCUUGAAUACAUUAGCAUGGAAUAAUGAAAUAGGACGUUUGAUUCUAUUCUGUUGGUUUCUAGGAUCGACGUAAUGAUUAAUAGGGAUAGUUGGGGGCAUUAGUAUUCAAUUGUCAGAGGUGAAAUUCUUGGAUUUAUUGAAGACUAACUACUGCGAAAGCAUUUGCCAAGGAUGUUUUCAUUAAUCAAGAACGAAAGUUAGGGGAUCGAAGACGAUCAGAUACCGUCGUAGUCUUAACCAUAAACUAUGCCGACUAGGGAUCGGAUGAUGUUAAUUUUUAAUGACUC